GUAGGGUGCAAGCGUUGUCCGGAAUUAUUGGGCGUAAGGAGCUCGUAGGCGGUUUGUCACGUCGGCUGUGAAAACUCGGGGCUCAACCCCGAGCCUGCAGUCGAUACGGGCAGACUAGAGUGCGGUAGGGGAGACUGGAAUUCCUGGUGUAGCGGUGAAAUGCGCAGAUAUCAGGAGGAACACCGGUGGCGAAGGCGGGUCUCUGGGCCGUAACUGACGUUGAGGAGCGAAAGCGUGGGGAGCAAACAGGAUUAGAUACCCUGGUAGUCCACGCCGUAAACGGUGGGUGCUAGGUGUAGGCGGUAUUCCACGCCGUCUGUGCCGCAGCUAACGCAUUAAGCACCCCGCCUGGGGAGUACGGCCGCAAGGCUA
rnacentral:rRNA from 1 species